CCGCCGCCUCUGAAUCCCUCUUCUUUUCUUCAACUCUCUCUGAAUCUCCUACAAACCCUAGCCACCGCCAUCGAGCUACACCCUAAUCCACCCUGAUACCUACCUAAUCCAUUGCCUUCUAUGGUCAUUUGAGGCUUGUACCAGCCUUCCAUGGCUUCUAUGUGUUUGGUUCUAUGGUUUCACGACUAGACUUCGAAGGAGUUUGGUCCAGUCCUUGCUCGACUGGUGUUCAUGGCCUUUCUCUGACCAUCCACGACCUUUUCCGGCCAUUCAUGGUCUUUCAAGGCGGGUCCUUGACCAUUCUGGUUAGAUUGUUAACUUUCAAGAUCUUUCUCAUUUCUUUUGGGUUUUCUGAAACCCUAAUCUCUAAGAUCUUUCGAUUUCUUUCAGAUCUACCUUAGAUCUAUGCUUAUCUUGAGCUUGUAAGCAUUUCUUCUCGAAGGUUCUGUAACUUUGCCUUCAAAACGACUCUUUAUCUUUUCUGAUUAGGGUUUUUCUUUUAUGUUAUUUCAAAAAAUCUCCUAUGAUUUUAACGUGUUUUUGAUCUUGCUAUGUUUUGCUCAUGUUGUUCUUUUAUCUGAAUUAGCAUGUUUAAAACCCUAAUUUCUUUUUGGCCUCAGUUGAGUUCUUGAAGCUGUUUGUUAGAUGUGUACAUGUUUGUUUAAGUUCUUGCUUGAUUCAUCUGUUUACCCUCUUUUGAACUCGUUUGUUGUUGAAAACUCUAGGUCUUUGGGUCAGGAAUUGUUGUCUGAACACUUGACUCGAUUGAAAGUUCUUGUUUCAGACUCUCUUUUCUUAUGUGACUUAUUUGAUUUUUACUAUCAUUCUAAAUCAACUUUUGUCGAAAACCCUAACCUCUCAAAAGAUUUCCUCACCUGUUACUAUGAGACCUUUGCAUGUUUCUGAUACCGUGUUUUCUUCGUUGUUGAUUCAAAGUGGCUUGACCUACUUGAUUACUAUGCUUCGAAUGUUUGCUUUACUACUGAACCCUAGUUUAUUUCUACCACUACUGCAUGUUUGUGAUUAUCUCGUUUGUCAAUAUGUUUGGCCUCGCAUGUCUGAUGACCCUGUUCACUUUAUUUAUAUGCUGAAGCCUCUUCUUUGAUUGAUCUUAGUCAUGUGACUAGUUACAAUGUUUUUCUUUUAUGAGCCCUCAUUUCACUCGCCUGUUUGAAAUUGAUUGAUUCUUUUCCUUUCCUGUAAUAUUUUGCCUUACUUAAUCUUUUUCCAAAAUAAACAUAUUUCUGUACUUAGACUCGAUUGCUUACUUAAUGUUUUUACUACUCCUUUUAUGGCAAUAAUUAGUCUAUCUUUAAACUGAUUUCCUUGCCUUAUUUGAAUCUGUUACUACCCGUUUAAUAGUGAUUCCUUAAUUAAAGGGGAAUUACUCGGUUAAUUGAUUCUGACCGGAGAUUGUUUCUAUAUUUGUGUUAAGACUAUACUUGUUACCUUAUUUCUCACCUAUUUUCAAAGCUAUAAAUACCCUGCACCUUUUCUUCUUUCAAAGACAAACCACAUGAGUUUAGAACACACACUUCACUCAAAACUCUCUCUCUCUCUUUUUCUGUUACUGCUUGGGUUGCUACCUUGUCUAGCCGGCUGGAAGUCAAGGCUAGGCUAUGGGAAAUUUGCUUACUUUUCCUUCUCUACAUUUGCUUCUUUACUGGUAUGUCCUAAUUAAUUUUCUAGCAUCAACAUCAAUAUGUUUCUUUACUAUUUCCUUCACUCUGGCCUGUUUCUUGCUUGUGUUUAAUCAAGUUACAUUCACCAAGCAUGCUGUAAUUUGCCCUUCCUUUUCUGAAUUAAUGCAAUCUUCUUAUGUAUGAAUUCUGUCAGUCAUUUAUUAUGACUUAUGAAUCCCAAACCCCCAUAUCCCCUAUGUGUUUUUAUUCUUUGGUUGGUUUGAGGGCAUGUCAGUAUUAGAUAUUGCUGGGCAUGACCCAAACCUGACCCUCCCUAGGGUCGUAUGCUUCAUAUCCCCUCUAUGUGUUGUGUUCUCUGGCUGGUUUAUGGGUAUGCCAACACCAGCUAUUGCUGUGAAUGUCCAAACCUGACCCCUCUUAGGGUCACAAGCUCCUUGCAAUGUAUUCCCAAACCCCUGACCCCUUUUGUAUAAAAAAUGCUGAUUCUGUGUAGUGUUAGUUUUACUGCUACUGUUUUCAAAUUACCCUGACCCCCUUACUAUUCUCAACCCAGUUUUAAACAAAUCUCUGCCUCUGCACUUCCACUAUACUCUUAGACUUAGGUUCUGCCCCUCUUGUGUGAGCCUUGCCUUGGGACCCAUGAGCUCCCUCUGAACUUGGACACAUAAGGGCUGGCCCUUCUACACUGCACUCAUCUCUAUAUGAUUAUGCAGACUUGGGUGUAAGCACUGCUCGGCGUCUCUUGAUACCCUUAGGGAACUUUGACAAACUCAAGUCUGAGAAAGGCUUUGGAACCAAUGGCAUUUGAGGUGGUUUAUUCCAUAACUCAGAGAGGAAGUCAAGAAUUAGGCUUCCUAUUGUUGUAACUUCUUGUUCUACACUGUUCUAAUGUAAUUCAAUAUUUGGUCUGUAAUAAUUUGUAACAAAUAUUGGGGGUUGUUUAGUGAAAAAGUGAUGGGUAAUUAUGCAUGUUUAGUUAUUAGAAGGG
rnacentral:lncRNA from 1 species